UGGGGAAUUUUGGACAAUGGGCGAAAGCCUGAUCCAGCAAUGCCGCGUGUGUGAAGAAGGCCUUCGGGUUGUAAAGCACUUUUGUCCGGAAAGAAAUCCUUGGCUCUAAUACAGUCGGGGGAUGACGGUACCGGAAGAAUAAGCACCGGCUAACUACGUGCCAGCAGCCGCGGUAAUACGUAGGGUGCAAGCGUUAAUCGGAAUUACUGGGCGUAAAGCGUGCGCAGGCGGUUUGCUAAGACCGAUGUGAAAUCCCCGGGCUCAACCUGGGAACUGCAUUGGUGACUGGCAGGCUAGAGUAUGGCAGAGGGGGGUAGAAUUCCACGUGUAGCAGUGAAAUGCGUAGAGAUGUGGAGGAAUACCGAUGGCGAAGGCAGCCCCCUGGGCCAAUACUGACGCUCAUGCACGAAAGCGUGGGGAGCAAACAGGAUUAGAUACCCUGGUAGUCCACGCCCUAAACGAUGUCAACUAGUUGUUGGGGAUUCAUUUCCUUAGUAACGUAGCUAACGCGUGAAGUUGACCGCCUGGGGAGUACGGUCGCAAGAUUAAACUCAAUGAAUUGACGGGGUCAUAGCUGUUUCCU
rnacentral:rRNA from 1 species